GUACUGCAGUACUUAUACUAGAAUUGUGACGACACAGAGAAGAUUAGCAUGGCCCCUGCGCAAAGAUGAUACGAAAAAUCGUGUCACCUGCGUCUAU
rnacentral:snRNA from 1 species